GCGCAAAGAGCCGGGGGCCAGCUCUUGGAGGGCCUGGAGACCCCACGUGGUCCCGACCGAAGGACCUGUGGACAUCCAAAGGUGAUACAGCUGGAAAAAGGAUCUUCAUCCAAGACAAAGAGAAACAAAGUCGAUAGGAAAGUGAUGAAAGGCAUCAAGCAAAGUGAAGAUGCAAAUGAGAAAACAAGAUCAGAAGACAGGAAUAUCUGAAACAAGUCACAAAUGCAUAGUAUGACCUCUCAGUUGCUCAAGCUAGAAGGAUGGGGGUAUUUUGGCUCAUCCCCUUCACUCUUCACAUCUAAUUAAUUCCCUCUUUUGAGUAACAUUUACUAAGUGCCAGGCCUUCUGCUAGUCUUUCGUGAAGCUUGGAGUUAGAGUGAGAGACCGAUAUUACUCAAAUGAUCUUGCCAGUGAAUGUACAAGUUACAGGUGGAGAUAAGUGCUCUGCAGAAAGGAGCAUGACUCUUGUGAGAGAAACAGAAGACCAUGUUCUGAACUGGGAAUCAAGGAAGACUUCCCUGAGGACGUGACCCUUGUUUGGACUCUAUUCUGUUUAUGCUAAGGAUUUUAAUAAGGAGCAGGUGAUGGACAUGAUCCAGCGUACAUUUUUAGAGGAAUAUCAUGAGUCCUAUCACUUCAUCUCCUAAAUAUUUCUGACAUCUGUUCUCUUUCCUCCAUCCUCACGACCUUCACUGGCAUGGGCCUCCAACAGCUCACUGUGGGGGAAGUUUCCCUCAAAGGGCACUGAUAACACAUCUUAUUAAAACUAUACCACAUCAUUAUA
rnacentral:lncRNA from 10 species